GGAACAUGUGGUUUAAUUCGUUGAUACGCGAGGAACCUUACCCGGGCUCAAACGGGGAGUGCCGCAGGCAGAGACGCCUGUUUCCCACGGGACACUCCCCGAGGUGCUGCAUGGUUGUCGUCAGCUCGUGCCGUGAGGUGUCGGCUUAAGUGCCAUAACGAGCGCAACCCCCGCGUGCAGUUGCUAACAGAUAACGCUGAGGACUCUGCACGGACUGCCGGCGCAAGCCGCGAGGAAGGCGGGGAUGACGUCAAAUCAGCACGGCCCUUACGUCCGGGGCGACACACGUGUUACAAUGGGUGGUACAGCGGGAAGCCAGGCGGCGACGCCGAGCGGAACCCGAAAUCCACUCUCAGUUCGGAUCGGAGUCUGCAACCCGACUCCGUGAAGCUGGAUUCGCUAGUAAUCGCGCAUCAGCCAUGGCGCGGUGAAUACGUUCCCGGGCCUUGUACACACCGCCCGUCAAGCCAUGGGAGCCGAGGGCGCUUGAAGUGCGUCGCCGCGAGGCGCGCCCUAGAGCGAAAUCGGUGACUGGGGCUAAGUCGUAACAAGGUAACCGU
rnacentral:rRNA from 1 species